GGAAGGAUCAUUCGCACGCAUCCAAUUAAUACCAUUGUGAAUUUUUGGCGUGAGGUUUUGUUUGGGGAUGGAGAUUGCAUCAAUGCCCCCAUGCAAAAGCUCAAAGGCGGCAGGGUUGGAUGGGUGCUUGUCACCUCCUUUCAGCUCUUGUCGUCACCUUCCUUUUGCUUGUAAUCUUUGCUACUUCUUUACCAGUUGAAGUGGUUGUCCACUUUCUUCUUACAACUUUCAGCGAUCGAUGUCUCGGCUCGAACAACGAUGAAGGGCGCAGCGAAGUGUGAUAAGCAUUGUGAAUUGCAGGAUUCCGUGAACCAAUAGGGACUUGAACGUACACUGCGCUUUCGGGAUAUCCCUGAAAGCAUGCCUGCUUCAGUGUCCACUUUAUUUCUUCCAGCAGCAUCUUCCACAUUUGUGGUACUGUUGCUUGGGUGUGCUUGUGUGUCAAAGUGCUUUGCUGCCUUUGACGCGUUCAAUGCAUGGGGAUUUCCUCUUGGCGCGCAACUUGCUAAACGUCGCUGACGCAACUUGUUGUUGUGCUUUGGGGCAACCUCCUUGAUUCAUAUGUUUCAUACAUGUGAAGACAUGAAGUUAGGUCAGCAAA
rnacentral:rRNA from 1 species